CAAGUCGAACGCGAAAGUUCCCUUCGGGGAGCGAGUAGAGUGGCGCACGGGUGAGUAACACGUAGGUAAUCUACCUUCGGAUUGGGAAUAACAACCGGAAACGGUUGCUAAUACCGAAUAAUGCAGCGGCACCUAAUGGUGACAGUUGUUAAAGCGGGGGAUCGCAAGACCUCGCGUCUGAAGAGGAGCCUGCGGCGGAUUAGCUAGUUGGUAAGGUAAUGGCUUACCAAGGCGAUGAUCCGUAGCCGGCCUGAGAGGGCGGUCGGCCACACUGACACUGACAUACGGGUCAGACUCCUACGGGAGGCAGCAGUCGGGAAUUUUGGGCAAUGGGCGAAAGCCUGACCCAGCAACGCCGCGUGAAGGAUGAAAUCCUUCGGGAUGUAAACUUCGCAAGAACGGGAAGAAUAAGUAAGAGUUAACAUCUCUUACGAUGACGGUACUGUUUGUAAGCUCCGGCUAACUCCGUGCCAGCAGCCGCGGUAAUACGGGGGGAGCAAGCGUUGUUCGGAUUUACUGGGCGUAAAGGGCGCGUAGGCGGCCACCGCAAGUCAGUUGUGAAAGCUCUGGGCUUAACCCAGAAAGGUCAACUGAUACUGCGGGGCUAGAGUGCAGAAGGGGCAACUGGAAUUCUCGGUGUAGCGGUGAAAUGCGUAGAUAUCGAGAGGAACACCUGCGGCGAAGGCGGGUUGCUGGGCUGACACUGACGCUGAAGUGCGAAAGCUAGGGGAGCGAACGGGAUUAGAUACCCCGGUAGUCCUAGCCUUAAACGAUGAAUGCUUGGUGUCUGGGGUUUUAUAGUCCCCGGGUGCCGUCGCUAACGCUUUAAGCAUUCCGCCUGGGGAGUACGGUCGCAAGACUGAAACUCAAAGGAAUUGACGGGGACCCACACAAGCGGUGGAGCAUGUGGUUUAAUUCGACGCA
rnacentral:rRNA from 1 species